rnacentral:rRNA from 1 species
AAUAGAUACCCCGGUAGUCCAUGCCGUAAACGUUGGGCGCUAGAUGUGGGGACCAUUCCACGGUUUCCGUGUCGCAGCUAACGCAUUAAGCGCCCCGCCUGGGGAGUACGGCCGCAAGGCUAAAACUCAAAGGAAUUGACGGGGGCCCGCACAAGCGGCGGAGCAUGCGGAUUAAUUCGAUGCAACGCGAAGAACCUUACCAAGGCUUGACAUAUACGAGAACGCUCUAGAAAUAGAGAACUCUUUGGACACUCGUAUACAGGUGGUGCAUGGUUGUCGUCAGCUCGUGUCGUGAGAUGUUGGGUUAAGUCCCGCAACGAGCGCAACCCUCGUUCUAUGUUGCCAGCGGUUCGGCCGGGAACUCAUAGGAGACUGCCGGGGUCAACUCGGAGGAAGGUGGGGAUGACGUCAAAUCAUCAUGCCCCUUAUGUCUUGGGCUUCACGCAUGCUACAAUGGCCAGUACAAAGGGCUGCAAUACCGUAAGUGGAGCGAAUCCCAAAAAGCCGGUCUCAGUUCGGAUUGAGGUCUGCAAC